GAUGAAUGCUGGCGGCGUGCUUUACACAUGCGAGUCGAACGAAGCACUUUAUUUUAUUUCCUUCGGGACUGAUUAUUUUGUGACUGAGUGGCGUACGGGUGAGUAACGCGUGGGUAACCUGCCUUGUACAGGGUGAGAACAGUUGGAAACGGCUGCUAAUACCGCAUAAGCGCACGGCAUCGCAUGAUGCAGUGUGAAAAACUCCGGUGGUAUAAGAUGGACCCGCGUUGGAUUAGCUAGUUGGUGAGGUAACGGCCCACCAAGGCGACGAUGCAUAGCCGAGCUGAGAGGGUGACCGGCCACAUUGGGACUGAGACACGGCCCAAACUCCUACGGGAGGCAGCAGUGGGGAAUAUUGCACAAUGGGCGAAAGCCUGAUGCAGCGACGCCGCGUGAGAGAAGAAGUAGUUCGGUAUGUAAAGCUCUAUCAGCAGGGAAGAUAAUGACGGUACCUGACUAAGAAGCACCGGCUAAAUACGUG
rnacentral:rRNA from 1 species